rnacentral:tmRNA from 1 species
CCCGUAGGCCGGGGUCGGGGGGUCAUCAAAUCGGGACCGCGCCGGUUCGUGCCUGUUGGGCCGGCGUUAAACGCAAGCAGGCUAAGCGCCGCGAUGACCCUGUCUGCCGGGGAGCGCGGCGUCAAAUAAAAGACAGACUACGCAUGUAGAACCGGAGCUGUAGGACUUGCGGACGCGGGUUCAAUUCCCGCCACCUCCACCA